rnacentral:lncRNA from 1 species
CCACACUCUUGAUUAAAGACAGGAAAAAAAACUCUGUAAAUAUGAAUCUGUUGAUGAAGCAUUGCUCAAAAUUUCAAAUGAAGACACAGAAGGAUUCAGGUUUAAAAGUGAUUUAUUUGAGCAUGAUCAUGAAGCAUAUCAUGUAUCAUUUGACAUCAUGAGCAGUUGAGCAGUGUGUUCCCUUCAAAGAGAAAAGAGCAGAAAGCCGCUAAAAAUGCAGUGAUUAUUAAGAUUAUCAAAGAGCCUGUAGGGUCUAGGGAGUCGCAGGUUAACUACAUCUCCCGCCUCCAACUGCAGAGUCACACCACUAGAGAGAUAGGAGUGAUAAUAUGGGUUAGUUCUCUCUUGCAAAUACAUGACCUGAUCUUCAUUCUUAAACAUCCUGAUUCGCACCCAGGAUACUGGGUCAUCCAUGACUGUGAAUCUAAAGUAGUACACUCCCCUGACUGGAGCUGUGAAGAAGCCGGUAUUGUCGCUGUAGGCCUGUCCAACAUUGGUGAUGAUUCUAGUGAAGACCAAGUUCAGCUCAGUGGUCCCAGACUCUAUGUGUCCUGAGUUAGCCAGACCUGCUGAGAAUGCCACCUUGGGUUUCUCUGUAAUCUCUUUCUCCAGAUUCAAUACUUCAGUCUCAGUGGCUGCCAGUCUGUUCUUCACUGCUGUCAGCUCUGCCUCUUGUGCUGCAGCUUCAGUCUCAGCGGCUGCCAGUCUGUUCUUCACUGCUGUCAGCUCUGCCUCAUUGUCAGCCUCUAUUUUGUGCAGCAGAUCUUUGGUGUUUUGUAGCUCAUACUCAGUUAAGAUCAGAGUCACCCUCAUCUCCACUACCAUGUCUCUGAGUUCCUUGAGCUCAGCAGAGACGUCCAGCUGGGUAGUGGCUGUAUCAGCAGCAGAAGCCCCAAUGCUCUGGCUCUCUGUGUGAACUUCAGUCUGAGCUCCACACAUGGAGAGCAGCAGCACCAGCAGUGCGAUGACAGCCCUCAUCUUUAACAUCACUAGUAGUAUUUGCAGUAGUAGUAGUUGU